CUUAACCGACUGAGCCACCCAGAUGCCCUUAUUUUCUAUAGGAUUUAAAAGACAAAUACAUAAGAUGGAAUUAUGAAUCUAUGUUAAUGAGUAUGCAAUAUGUAAAGAUUUAGUUUGUGGCAUCAAUAACAGAGGAGUUUUCUUAUGCAAUUAAAGUUGAGUUGGUAACAAUUUAAGAUAGAUUGUCACAACUUUAGAAUGUUAUAUGUAAUCCCCAUGGUAACCACAAAGAAAAUAUUCAUAGAAGAUACACAAAAAGAAAUGAAAAGAGAAUCAAAAUGUGUUGGUACAAGAAAUCAACUAAACACAAAAGAAAGCAAUCAUGGAGGAAAUGAGGUAUAUAUGGCAAAAGCCUCCAAAGUAUGGUCAGAUAAUCUUAACUUGAGUAAUCAGGAAUCAUCGCUUAAAAUAACUUCUAUCCUUAAUCCAAACACAAAUUUAGGGCCUUGUAUUGUCCAAGGAGAAAAUACCAUCAUUCUAAUUCUUUUA